GAUGAAGAACGUAGUGAAAUGCGAUAAUUAAUGUGAAUUGCAGAAUUCAGUGAAUCAUCGAGUCUUUGAACGCACAUUGCGCCCCCUGGUAUUCCGGGGGGCAUGCCUGUCCGAGCGUCAUUGCUGCCCUCAAGCACGGCUUGUGUGUUGGGCUUCCGUCCCUGGCAACGGGGACGGGCCCAAAAGGCAGUGGCGGCACCAUGUCUGGUCCUCGAGCGUAUGGGGCUUUGUCACCCGCUCCCGUAGGUCCAGCUGGCAGCUAGCCUCGCAACCAAUCUUUUUAACCAGGUUGACCUCGGAUAAGGUAGGGAUACCCGCUGAACUUAAGCAUAUCAAUAAGCGGAGGA
rnacentral:misc_RNA from 1 species